CUCUUCUUGAAAUUUUUAAGAGUAUUACCUGCCCAAUGAUAAAAUUUAAUGGCCGCGGUAUUUUGACCGUGCAAAGGUAGCAUAAUCAUUAGUCUUUUAAUUGAAGGCUGGAAUGAAUGGUAGGACGAGAUAAUUACUGUCUUAUUAAUAUUAGAUUGAACUUAAUUAUUAAGUAAAAAAGCUUAAAUAUUUUUAUGGGACGAGAAGACCCUAUAGAGUUUGAUAUUUGUUUAUAUAGAAUUAUGGGUAAUAUUAGUUAUUAUUUAUAAAUAUUUUGUUGGGGUGACAGGAAGAUAAAUGUAACUCUUUUUAUAAAAUGAUUACAAAUUUGUAUAUUUUUGAUCCAUAAAAUUAUGAUUAUAAGACUAAAUUACCUUAGGGAUAACAGCGUAAUCUUUUCUGAGAGUUCUAAUCGAGGAGAAGGAUUGCGACCUCGAUGUUGGAUUUAAGAUAAAUCUUGGGUGUUAGUGGUUCAGGAAUUAAGGUCUGUUCGACCUUUAAAUUCUUACA
rnacentral:rRNA from 1 species